GAUGAUUUCACUUCACAUGAUUCCUUCAAGCUCUGUCCAAGAUGAAGUGAAGAAGUGGGGCGGGUCUCUGGGGAGGUGUAGUUCUAGGACACAUUGGUGAAGUUGUCUGCCCAGGAGAGUCAGAUUGGCAUCAUGGUAGCAUCUGCAACUCAAUGGCUGAAAAUGCACUAAGAUAUAAGACAGAACACAUUGUUUUCAUCAUCAGGAACCUAAAGGUCAAAAGGAAUACCAAAGGAAACCACCUGGGACAGCAACAAGACAGGACUAGAACGACUUCAGGAACCCACCAAAUCACCAGUGAGUGCAAACAUGUGUGUCUCGUGGAAAUAGAGGAGCCUAGGGGGAGAUAAAGUGGCUGGUAAUAGUCCGGCAGUUUACCAGUUGAGACACCAUCUCCAGUCUGUUUCACCAACAAAAAGACAGCUGAAGGGAGGAAAGGACUCCCCUAAGACUCACUAAAUGCAACUGUGAGUCUCCAUUGCUACUGCCCUCAGAAGCUGGAGCAGCAGGGGGGUGGGGUUCAGGGGGAGGCCCUGGGCUGACACCAGGAGACAGAGAACUAACCAGGAAACUCAGGAGAAUAUCUAUACCUCAGUGGCCUAGCAUUGGGGUUGUGAAAGUCUUUUUGCAUAACCACUGGAUUAUCUCUGCCCCACCCUGCUUUAUCUUUUUGAGAGGAGUCAGUGAUUAAGCUAAGAAGACUACUUACAGUUUAAAAGCCCUCAGGCUCCCAUAGCCUACAGGGAAGAAAAAGAACAAAAGAGGUGUUUAAGCCACUGAGCUCCAACUCAGGGAUUAAAAUAAUAUUGGAACAACUGUCAAUUAACACAACUGUGAACCCUUUAAUUACCUUACUUAGACACAAGUCAAUUCAGGCAAAAGUGAUCAGGAAUUUGAAAAGUACUGAGAGAGGGACCUGAUAAUAUAAAAUGGUUAAACCAACAGGAAGAAAUAUUGGAGAAAUGAAUCAGGACACGAAUCCAGCUAAAAGCUUCCCAAAGGUUGAAGCACAAAAUAAUGAGGUCAACAUCCAAACACUAGUUAAGGAAAUAAUCACAAGAGUGAGUAAAGAGUUUGAAAUAAUUGUCAUCAGAAAUGCAGAAACAACAAAUGAGACCCUGAAAGAAAACACUAAUUAUCUCAAGGUUAUUAGAGAGCUGAAAGCUAAAAUAGUUGAGCUAAGAACACAACUAGUUGAACAAGCUAAAACAGUAUCAGAACAGGGUAACAAAAUAGAUGAACUCCAGAAAACAACAGAGGGGAGAGAGAAUAGAAUAAAUGAGGCUGAAGACAGAAUUAGCAAGAUCCAGGACAAAUUAGGGACAACUAAAAAAGAAGUAAGAGAUCCCAAAAAGAGGUUAAUGGAUACUGAAAACAGAGACCUAUGAGAUGACUUCAAAAGAAAUAAUAUACGCAUUAUUGGCUUACCAGAGGAAGAAAGAGAGGGAGGGGAAGAAAGCAUUCUUCAGUCCAUAAUAGCUGAGAACUUCUCUAGUCUAGACAACAUCAAAGACAUAAAGGUUCAAGAAGCCCAGAGGGUCCCAAACAUAGCUAACCCAGACUUAAAGACACCAAGACACAUAUUUAGAAUGGAAAGGAAUAAGGAUAAAGAAAGGAUCCUGAAGGCUGCAAGAGAAAAGCAAAGAGUCACCUACAGAGGACAACCUGUAAAGUUAGCAGCAGAUUUCUCCACACAAACACUACUGGCCAGAAGAGAAUGGCAAGAUCUCUAUUGAGUGAUCAAUAAGAAAGGCUUUCAACCAAGAAUACUGUAUCCUGGAAGACUGUCAUUCAGGCUAGAUCAAGGCAAAAAAAAAAAAAAAACCUUCUUAGACAAGCAACAGUUGAAAGAAUCAACUAUCAACAAGCCUGCCCUGAAAGAAGUUCUAACAGGUCUCCUAUAAACAGUCAGACCACCAUAAAUAUACCAUAGGUCAGAACACUCUAAAGAUCUACAAGAAUGGCAUUAAAAUAUCUUCAAUCUAUAUAAUAUCAAUAAAUGUCAAUGGCCUGAAUUCACCUACUAAAAGGCACAGAGUAGGAAGAUGGAUCAGAAAACAGAACCCAACAAUAUGCUGUCUACAGAAUACCCACCUAACUCAACAAGAAAAACAGAUUCAAAGUGAAAGGAUGGAAAGCUAUCAUACAAGCCAAUGGCCCACAAAAAGGGGCAGAAACAGCUAUUCUCAUAUCUGACAUGAUAGUCUUUAAAAUCAAUAAGAUUUAAAAAGAUAGGGAUGAACACUACUUAAUGCUCUGUGGAUCAGUCAAUCAACAGGACUUAGGGAGCAGGCGGUAGCACAGCAGGUUAUGCACACAUGAAACAAAGUGCAAGAACUGCCAUAAAGAUGCCAGUUCGAGCCCCUGGCUCCCCACCUGCAGGGGAGUCACUUCACAAGUGGUGAAGCAGGUCUGCAGGUGUCUCUUUCUCUUCCCCUCUCUGUCUUUCCGCCCUCUCUCCAUUUCUCUCUGUCCUAUCCAACAAUGACGAUCAAUAACCAUAACAAUAAAACAACAAGGGCAACAAAAUAGAAUAAAUAAAUAAAUAAAUAAAUAAAUGGUAUAAUAAAAAAAUCAAUCAAGAGGACUUAACAAUUAUUAACAUCUAUG